rnacentral:rRNA from 1 species
AUUGAACGCUGGCGGCAGGCCUAACACAUGCAAGUCGAGCGGAUGAGAGGAGCUUGCUUCUCGAUUCAGCGGCGGACGGGUGAGUAAUGCCUAGGAAUCUGCCUGGUAGUGGGGGACAACGUUUCGAAAGGAACGCUAAUACCGCAUACGUGCUACGGGAGAAAGCAGGGGACCUUCGGGCCUCGCGCUAUCAGAUGAGCCUAGGGCGGAUUAGCUAGUUGGUGAGGUAAUGGCUCACCAAGGCGACGAUCCGUAACUGGUCUGAGAGGAUGAUCAGUCACACUGGAACUGAGACACGGUCCAGACUCCUACGGGAGGCAGCAGUGGGGAAUAUUGGACAAUGGGCGAAAGCCUGAUCCAGCCAUGCCGCGUGUGUGAAGGAGGUCUUCGGAUUGUAAAGCACUUUAAGUUGGGAGGAAGGGUUGUAGAUUAAUACUCUGCAAUUUUGACGUUACCGACAGAAUAAGCACCGGCUAACUCUGUGCCAGCCGCCGCCGUAAAAC